AUUGAACGCUGGCGGCAUGCUUUACACAUGCAAGUCGAACGGUAACAGGCCGAAAGGUGCUGACGAGUGGCGAACGGGUGAGUAAUGCAUCGGAACGUGCCCAGUCGUGGGGGAUAACGCAGCGAAAGCUGCGCUAAUACCGCAUACGAUCUAUGGAUGAAAGCGGGGGACCGUAAGGACUCGCGCGAUUGGAGCGGCCGAUGUCAGAUUAGGUAGUUGGUGGGGUAAAGGCUCACCAAGCCAACGAUCUGUAGCUGGUCUGAGAGGACGACCAGCGACACUGGGACAGAGACACGGCCCAGACUCCUACGGGAGGCAGAAGUGGGGAAUUUUGGACAAUGGGGGCAAGCCUGAUCCAGCAAUGCCGCGUGCAGGAAGAAGACAUUCGGGUUGUAAACUGCUUUUGUACGGAACGAAACGGUCCUGGUUAAUACCCGGGGCUAAUGACGGUACCGUAAGAAUAAGCACCGGCUAACUACGUGCCAGCAGCCGCCGUAACAC
rnacentral:rRNA from 1 species